rnacentral:rRNA from 1 species
UUUGUCGCGUCUGCCGUGAAAGUCCNGGGGCUCAACUCCGGAUNUGCGGUGGGUACGGGCAGACUAGAGUGAUGUAGGGGAGACUGGAAUUCCUGGUGUAGCGGUGAAAUGCGCAGAUAUCAGGAGGAACACCGAUGGCGAAGGCAGGUCUCUGGGCAUUAACUGACGCUGAGGAGCGAAAGCAUGGGGAGCGAACAGGAUUAGAUACCCUGGUAGUCCAUGCCGUAAACGUUGGGCACUAGGUGUGGGGGACAUUCCACGUUUUCCGCGCCGUAGCUAACGCAUUAAGUGCCCCGCCUGGGGAGUACGGCCGCAAGGCUAAAACUCAAAGGAAUUGACGGGGGCCCGCACAAGCGGCGGAGCAUGCGGAUUAAUUCGAUGCAACGCGAAGAACCUUACCAAGGCUUGACAUGAACCGGAAACACCUGGAAACAGGUGCCCCGCUUGCGGUCGGUUUACAGGUGGUGCAUGGUUGUCGUCAGCUCGUGUCGUGAGAUGUUGGGUUAAGUCCCGCAACGAGCGCAACCCUCGUUCUAUGUUGCCAGCGCGUUAUGGCGGGGACUCAUAGGAGACUGCCGGGGUCAACUCGGAGGAAGGUGGGGACGACGUCAAAUCAUCAUGCCCCUUAUGUCUUGGGCUUCACGCAUGCUACAAUGGCCGGUACAAAGGGUUGCGAUACUGUGAGGUGGAGCUAAUCCCAAAAAGCCGGUCUCAGUUCGGAUUGGGGUCUGCAACUCGACCCCAUGAAGUCGGAGUCGCUAGUAAUCGCAGAUCAGCAACGCUGCGGUGAAUACGUUCCCGGGCCUUGUACACACCGCCCGUCAAGUCACGAAAGUUGGUAACACCCGAAGCCGGUGGCCUAACCCCUUGUGGGAGGGA